GGAGAAUCUUGCGCAAUGGACGAAAGUCUGACGCAGCCACGCCGCGUGAGUGAAGAAGGCCUUCGGGUUGUAAAGCUCUGUCGCCCGGGACGAAAAUGCUUGAGGUUAACAGCCUCAGGUACUGACGGUACCGGGAGAGGAAGCACCGGCUAACUUCGUGCCAGCAGCCGCGGUAAUACGAGGGGUGCAAGCGUUGCUCGGAAUUACUGGGCGUAAAGCGUGCGCAGGCGGUUUUGUAAGCCAGAUGUGAAAUCCCCGGGCUUAACCUGGGAAUGGCAUUUGGGACUGCAAGGCUCGAGUGCGGCAGAGGAGACUGGAAUUCCUGGUGUAGCAGUGAAAUGCGUAGAUAUCAGGAGGAACACCGAUGGCGAAGGCAGGUCUCUGGGCUGACACUGACGCUCAUGCACGAAAGCGUGGGGAGCAAAC
rnacentral:rRNA from 1 species